UAGGGGCUUGAACGGCACGCGUCGCUGG
rnacentral:sRNA from 1 species